rnacentral:rRNA from 1 species
CCAGACUCCUACGGGAGGCAGCAGUGAGGAAUAUUGGUCAAUGGGCUUACGCCUGAACCAGCCAAGCCGCGUGAGGGAUGAAGGUACAGAGUAUCGUAAACCUCUUUUGUCAGGGAACAAAGGCGGGGACGUGUCCCCGGAUGAGUGUACCUGAAGAAAAAGCAUCGGCUAACUCCGUGCCAGCAGCCGCGGUAAUACGGAGGAUGCGAGCGUUAUCCGGAUUUAUUGGGUUUAAAGGGUGCGUAGGCUGUGAGGUAAGUCAGCGGUGAAAUGCCCCCGCUCAACGGGGUGAAGUGCCAUUGAUACUGCCUUGCUGGAAUGCGGAUGCCGUGGGAGGAAUGUGUGGUGUAGCGGUGAAAUGCAUAGAUAUCACGCAGAACCCCGAUUGCGAAGGCAGCAUACCGGCGCUCAACUGACGCUGAGGCACGAAAGUGCGGGUAUCGAACAGGAUUAGAUACCCCGGUA